rnacentral:tRNA from 1 species
GGCCUGCUAGCUCAGUCGGUUAGAGCGUCGUGCUAAUAACGCGAAGGUUGUAGGUUCGAUACCUGCGCAGGCCA